UUGUUUUCAGUAUGGCAGGAGGUGGAAAUUGAGUUUUUAAUCAAUUUAUUCUUCAGAAGUUUAUCAAUAUCAGAUGCUCUUUAUUCACUUAAUUCACUACCACGAUCUUUAUCUUCAAUUGUGCUAAAGGAUCCCGGUUUAUUUCAUGGAAUACAAAUCCGUUUGAUCUUUGCUAUAGUCACCGGACUCUAGCAUCCAAUCGUCUACGUAUUCGUAGAAAAAGUAAAUGUUGUGGAAUUUAACGCUUCAUUGCAUCACAUCCGACUAAAAAAAUGACCAGGGAAACAGAAGGCUGACAGACAUAUUCAUAGAAAAUAUGAAAAAGGCCUGCCUGUUGCCGUGUUGGAACAUGUAUUGACCUGUAUGAGCAUCAUACUGUGCAAAUCACCUAAAGAUGGAGUUGACCAAGUUGCUGACUUUGAGGAGAACUUGAAGAGCAGAAGAUGCAUUCCAUGACUCUUAUGUGAUAUAGAAGACAAAGAAGAGCUCUUGAGAAUGGGAAAAAAAACUGCGAGUUUUACAGUCAAUGAACACACCUCACGACACAAGUCCAUCCUGAUUCAGUAAACUAUUCUUCUAAGGAAACACCAUGACUUAGUUAAGAUCAAGUUUUGGUGUCAGAAGACUAAUGUAACUAAAACAUUGCAAAAUUAACCUGCAAGUGUCUUAUGUGAGCCUACUGAAUAAGGAUUCAUUACUGAACAGUUGAAGGAAAAUCACUAUUAUAAUGAUUUUUAAAAAAAGAUGAUUGUGUUGUUUGGAUAACAUUGUGAUCCAUGUUUGUUGAAUAAACAACUUUG